rnacentral:rRNA from 1 species
GACAGAGGGUGCAAACGUUGUUCGGAAUUACUGGGCGUAAAGGGCGCGUAGGCGGCUCGCCAAGUCAGGGGUGAAAUCUUUCGGCUCAACCGGAAAAGCGCUUCUGAUACUGGCGGGCUGGAGGGGGGUAGGGGCGACUGGAACUUCCGGUGGAGCGGUGAAAUGCGUAGAUAUCGGAAGGAACGCCGGUGGCGAAAGCGAGUCGCUGGACCCCUUCUGACGCUGAGGCGCGAAAGCCAGGGGAGCAAACGGG